UACAGAGGGGGCAAGCGUUGUUCGGAAUUACUGGGCGUAAAGGGCGCGUAGGCGGCCUUCUAAGUCGAACGUGAAAUCCCCGGGCUCAACCCGGGAACUGCGUCCGAUACUGGAAGGCUUGAAUCCGGGAGAGGGAUGCGGAAUUCCAGGUGUAGCGGUGAAAUGCGUAGAUAUCUGGAGGAACACCGGUGGCGAAGGCGGCAUCCUGGACCGGUAUUGACGCUGAUGCGCGAAAGCCAGGGGAGCAAAGCGGG
rnacentral:rRNA from 1 species